rnacentral:ncRNA from 1 species
GUUUUAUCCUACAAGUUUGGUGGCCAAAUUUAGUGGCCUUAAUAGGGAAUCUGGUGCAAAACCAGAACUGUCCCCGCAACUGUGAAUGUGAACGAACGAGAAAUUAUCCACUGUAUUGUUAGCUUAACGUUAAUAAUAUGGGAAGGUACUCAAGUAGAUGAACACAUAAGUCAGGAGACCUGCCAAACCUUGUGAAAAGUU